rnacentral:lncRNA from 1 species
UGAUGACCAGAUGGCAAUGCUCACUAAACAAUUUAAGAAAUUUCUAAAAGGUAACAUGAAAAGAAGGAAUUUGAAAACUCAACCACCACCAAAGAAGAAUUUUUCUGGUAACUUUAGACAAAAUCCUACUUUAUCUAUUGAAAAGAACGAAAAAUGCGAUCAAUGCCAUGAAUGUAAAGAUUUCAGUCACAUUACGGCUGAGUGUGCAAAUACUCUAAAGAGUUCAAGAGAUAAGAAAGCCAUGAACAUAACCUAGAGUAAAGACGAAGACAAAAAAUAAAAUUCGAAUGAGGAAGACAAGAUCGACAACAAUCAGGUAACAUCUCUAACUAUAAACCUUCAACCUGUAGCUAAUAUGAACAACCUAUCACAUAUUCACAUGCUGGACCAAUCCAACUGAAUAUAGAUUCAGUGGAAACUAGUAAAGCUUGCAUAGAACGCAAAAUUUUGAAAGACAAUUUGGAAGCUGAACAAGAAAGAAACGUUACCCUUCUGGCCAUAAUAGAAUACAUUGAAGAAGAGAGAUCCUUAAUUACUAUCGAAAAAGAUAUAUUACUCAAAACUGUAAGAGAGAAUGAAAGAUAAUCCCUAGACCUACAAAACUAAACUGGAAUAUACCAAAGAAAGAGUCAGGCUACCAUCGGUUCUUCACGUCUUAGCGAGACACUUAGUUAUGGAACAACUUAUAAUGACGGGGUAGGUCAUGCGUAUGAAGAAAAAGGAAAAGAAAAGGUUACUGCUCUACUGAAAUCCGUUAGAGCAGUAGUGAAAUCAGAAAAAUUGCAAAAAAGAUCAUCAAAAUCUGCUGUCAAAAUUUUGAAUAAGACCAUCUUCAGCAGGAUAGUUCUAUGCGCAAAUGCUCCACAACAAGUUCUGACUUCUUAAAAAAAUCUUGUUCGGAUCACAUUGUCAUAUAAAUUGGUAAAGUCUUGCAUUAGUAAGGCAAAACACCUUAUUAUACGUAACUCCUGGUACUUUGAUAGUAAAUGAUCCGAACACAUACUGGAAAAUCGUGAUAUGUUAACUGACUACAAAAAGUAUGCAGGAAGAAUGGUUACUUUUAGGGAUGGUGUGCGUAGUAGGAUUGAAGGAGUUGGAACUAAUGAAAUAAUUGGAUCACCUAUGUUGAAUUAGCGUAAGUCAAUUAUGUGAUAAUGAACUCAUGGUUAUGUUUACAAAAAAUACAUGUAAGGUUAUGAAAGGUGAUGGUGGUUCUGUCCUAUGUGGUAGCAAAUCUAGUGAUAAAUGCUACUUGCUUGAAUCUGAUUUUACGUAUCAUGUCUCUAAUACUGAUUGUAUAGACCUAUGAUACAAACGAUUGGGACAUCUGAACUAUAUAGAUCUUGGUGGUAAAAUGAUAUAUCUUUGUUAUAUUUGAUGAUUUCUCUAAUUCACUUGGCUUG